GACGAACGCUGGCGGCGUGCUUAACACAUGCAAGUCGAACGAAGUGGCGAACGGGUGAGUACUACGAGAGUAACCUGCCCUCCUUUUUGGGAUACGCCUUGGAAACGGGGUCUAGUACCCAUUAAAGGGGGAUGGGCUCGCGGCCUAUCAGCUUGUUGGUGGGGUGAUGGCGUACCAGGGCGGUGACGGGUAGCCGGCCUGAGAGGGUGACCGGCCAAAUUGGGAACGAGAUAGGGUCCAGAGUCCUACGGGAGGCAGCAGUGGGGGAUAAUGCACAAUGGGCGAAAGCCUGAUGGAGCGACGUGGGGUGGGGGUGGAAGGAUUUUGGGUUGUAAACCUCUUUCGCUAUCGAAAGGGUAGGUGGAGAAGAAGCGCCGGCUAACUUCGUGCCAGCAGCCGCGGUAAUAC
rnacentral:rRNA from 1 species